rnacentral:rRNA from 1 species
GGUGAGCUACCCCGAGACAGCCUAUGUUAAUUUAGGGCUAACCCGUCUCUGUGGCAAAAGAGUGGGAAGAGCUCCGGGUAGAAGUGAAAGACCUACCGAACCUGGUGAUAGCUGGUUGACUGAGAAAUGGAUAGAAGUUCAGCCUCACACACCCCAAACCAAAAAGUAUUAUCACUAAGAUACUUAGGGAAAAAUGCGAGAGUUAGUUGAAAGGGGUACAGCCCUUUUAACAAAGGAUACAACCUUAGCAGGAGGAUAAAGAUCAUAAUAUAUAAGACAUACUGUUCUAGUGGGCCUGAAAGCAGCCACCUAAGCAGAAAGCGUUAAAGCUCGGACAGAAAGAAGUUUAUUAUACAGAUAAAAAGUCUUAUUCCCCUAACUAUAUCAGACCAACCCAUGCCCGCAUGGAAGAGAUUAUGCUAAAAUGAGUAAUAAGAAGACCCGCUCUUCUCCCAGCACAAGUGUAAACCAGAUCGGACUAACCACUGGAACUUAACGAACCCAACCCAAGAGGGUAGUGUGAUUAACAAAAAACUCAAGAAGGACUCACAUUAACUAAUCGUUAACCCCACACUGGAGUGCUAUUUUAAGGGAAAGACUAAAAGAGGGGGAAGGAACUCGGCAAACACAAGCCUCGCCUGUUUACCAAAAACAUCGCCUCCUGCAACUAAACUGAGUAUAGGAGGUCCAGCCUGCCCAGUGACUACGGGUUCAACGGCCGCGGUAUCUUGACCGUGCAAAGGUAGCGCAAUCACUUGUCUCUUAAAUAGAGACCUGUAUGAAUGGCUAGACGAGGGCUUAACUGUCUCCCCCCUCCGGUCAGUGAAAUUGAUCUAUCCGUGCAGAAGCGGGUAUAAAUAUACAAGACGAGAAGACCCUUUGGAGCUUAAGGUACAAGAUACAACCACGUUAAACAACUCUGUGAGAAGCAAGAACUUAGUGGUGAUGAAUUUUUACCUUCGGUUGGGGCGACCGCGGAGGAAAAACAAGCCUCCGAGUGGACUGGGCCUAUCCCCUGAAGCCGAUAGAGACAUCUAUGGGCCACAGAACAUCUGACCAAAAAUGAUCCGGCUAAAAGCCGACCAACGGACCAAGUUACCCAAGGGAUAACAGCGCAAUCCCCUCCCAGAGCCCAUAUCUACGAGGGGGUUUACGACCUCGAUGUUGGAUCAGGACAUCCUAAUGGUGC